AACGGGCCUGACCCCUUUCCCAAGCUCUUAGCGCUCAGGUCUUUUCCUUCCACUGACCCGAAGUCAUCGCCGGGAAUACUGGUUGUCCUCUCCUCAGAAGACACACCUUUGCCAUGUAAACUUUAACUUUUCUCAGUCCUUCAGUGAAUCUACAGACCUGUUUUCUCAGGAGCUCAGCCUGGCCUUACUUCAGUGAUAAAAGGAGGAAAGGCUGGCUACAGCAAACAUCAUUCAAGAUGUCCAGCAAAGGGGGCAGCACAGAUGGCAGAACAGACUUAGCUAAUGGAAGCCUGACCAGCAGUCCAGAGGAGAUGUCUGGAGCUGAAGAGGGGAGGGAGACAUCCUCAGGCAUUGAAGUGGAGGCCUCAGACCUGAGUGUGAGAGUUUGGGGAUGAUGGUGGCCCCAACGGCACCAGCACAGAAAGUCAAGGCACAGACACAGAGAGCUCAGGGGAAGAUAAGGACUCUGACAACAUGGAGGACACCGGUCAUUACUCCAUUAAUGAAGAAAAUCAAGUCCAUGACUGCUCAGAGGAAGAGGAGGAAGAAGAGCAGCCUUGGCACGGUAUACAGAGCAAGCAGGCUAACCAUGACCAGGAUUCAUCAGAUGAUGAGUGUGCCCUAGAGGACUGGGUGUCCUCAGAAACAUCAGCUCUACCCCGACCUUGCUAGCAAGCCCUCCCUGCCCUUGGGAGCGGGAGCUGGGUUCAAGUGCCCGCUUUGUCUGUAAGGCCUGUGGGGCAAGAGUCUUUGUGCAGUGUUUCCACCUGCAGCAUAGGCUUAAGGGCCACACUGGUUGUGUCAAUACCCUGCACUUUAACCAGCGUGGCACCUGGCUGGCCAGUGGCAGCGAUGACCCGAAGGUGGUGGUGUGAGAUUGGGUGUGGCGGCCGCCAGUACUGGACUUUGAGAAUGGCCGCAAAAGUAAUGUGUUCCAGGCCAAGUUUCUUCCUAAUAGCGGUGAUUCCACUCUGGCCAUAUGUGCCUGUGACAGGCAGGUUUGGGUAGCAGAAUUGUCUGCCACACAGUGUUGCAAGAAUACGAAAUGUGUGGCCCAGCACAAGGGAGCGUCUCACAAGUUGUCUCUGGAACCAGACUCUCCCUGUAUGUUCUUAUCUGCAGGUAAAGAUGCAGUUGUUUUCACCAUUGACCUGAGACAAGACCCCCAGCUUCGAAACUGGUAGUAACAAAAGAGAAAGAGAAGAGUGAGGCUGUAUACAAUCUAUGUGAAUCCUGCCAAUACCCACCAGUUUGCAGUGGGCGGACGAGAUCUGUGUGUAAGGAUUUAUGACCAGAGGAAAAUUGACGAGAAUGAGAACAAUGGAGUCCUCAAAAGUUCUGCCCUCAUCACCUGGUGAACAGUGAGUCCAAAGCAAACAUCACCUGUCUUGUGUACAGCCGCGAUGGCACAGAGCUCCUGAUCAGUUACAAUGAUGAAGACAUUUACCUCUUAAACUUCUCUCACAGUGAUGGGGCCCAGUAUGUUAAGAGAUAUAAGGGCCACAGAAAUAAUACCACAGUAAAAGGCAUCAAUUUCUAUGGCCCCAAGAGUGAGUUUGUGGUGAGCAGUAGUGACAGUGGGCACAUCUUCCUCUGGGAGAAAUCAUCCUGCCAGAUUAUUCAGUUCAUGGAGGGGGACAAGGGAGGCGUGGUAAACUGUCUUGAGCCCCACCCUCACCUGCCUGUACUGGCAACCAGUGGCCUAGGCCACGAUGUGAAGAUCUGGCCACCCAUGACUGAAGCUUCCACUGAGCUGACAGGGUUAAAAGAUGUGAUUAAGGCCGGGUGCACGGGGCAGGGUGAAGACGGCUUGUACCACACUGACCUAUUUGAUAGUACAUGCUGUGCUUCCUCAUGCCUCACCUGAGACAGAGACACCAUCACCAGCGCUGGUGAAAACCUGGGGUUGGGGCCACAGACGCGGACUCUGAUGAGUCUCCCAGCUCCUCAGACACAUCAGAGGAGGAGGAGGGCCCUAAUCGAGUGCAGUGCAUGCCAUCUUGAAGCCUCAUCCCUAGGUGGGGUGGGCUGGGGCUGCCAACCUGAUCCUGCCUGGGCAACCCUUUCCUGUCCCAGGCACUACAUUCAGCAGAAACACACUUUGGACUUUUUGCUUUAGAUAAAAGAAAGACAUCCCAGGAGAAAGGACAAACCAGAGGAGUGAACCAACACAGAGUACCUAGGAAUGGGAGGGGAGCCCUGGAAUGGGCCUCCAUGGAGAGGUGCAUAGGCCUCAGCAGAAAUGGCCUCUCCCCAAAGCCUCUUUUUGAGAGAGGGAAGGCUAUUUUGUUAACUUGUUUGGGAUACGGAAUGGGGUUUCUUUUUCUUUAAUCUCCCUUGUUUCUUGGGCAGAGAGGGCGGGGGGAAGCUACUCAGUACCAAAGGGCGAGUGGCAGGUAAGAGUGCCACUCUCUCUUUGGUUUAGGUUUUUGACCUAUUCUUCCUUUGUUUUUCAAAAGUCUAUGACAGUUGGGUAUUUUUCUCCCCUCAGCAACCCCAUCCCAGGAUCCUGUUUUUCUGGGAAGUCCUUAAAGCCCCUAACCACCCCACACUCUUCACUUCCCCUCCUCCUCAUGCAUUCUCUGUACAUAUCACAGUGUUCUGCACUUGAUGACAUAUCCUUCACUCUCUUCUGUUCAUCCCAACACCCCUUAAAUAGGUCAGGUGAGGGAGGCUGGGGAGAGGUGGGAGGAGGGGCAGAAGUGAAGGAGGGAUAGGAAGGAUGCUACCUCUUCUGUUAUCUUUUAAAAACAACAUGGUUUGGUGGCAGCAAUCUCCCUGUCCCUAUCACUGUUAGAGGCCUAAUUUUCUAUCUAUAUUAGAAAGCAAGUCAAACUUGGAUGUAUCAAGGCAAAAUUACUGUCCAAGUUUAAAUACCUAUAUAUUCUCUAUGAAUGCAAUAAAGGGACUUAAAGGGAAAAAAAAAAAAAGGUUUUGUUGCUGCACAAUAGCCAAAAAAAAAAAAAGACAGUCAACCUUAACUUUUCCUUAAAUAACAAUGAAUUCAACAUGAACUAUGAUGCAAGUUCCUUCACACUGGUCUGAACUUCUCCACUAAAAUAAGGCAGGUGGAAUAAUCCCGACAAUAAAUAUCAACCAAAAAGGUUUUGACCUACACAAGCAUGGUCUUUGUAUACGGCCUGCUGGUACACUCUUUCACCACUAGGGGACGUUCCAACAUUAGUAAGGAAAAAAGGCUGAGUUACAAUAAGCCUUAAUAAAUAGAACUGUUACAGUUAUCCGAAGUGAUCAAGAAUGAUUAAAGAUGAGAAAUGGUCUCAAAGAACUAAAAAUAGAACUACUAUUCGACCCAGCAAUCCCAUUACUAGGUAUAUAUCCAAAGGAAAACAAAUCAUUCUACAAAAAAGACACAUGUACUCAAAUGC